CCGAGACUUUAAAAAGCCUCUUGGCUCCCCAGCUCCCCGGACUGGAGUAGAACAAUUCCAGGAUGGCAUCCCCCCCCUACGAACUGGCAGCUGGGAAAAACUUGCAAGCAAUUCAUGUGCUGGAAUACGCACACAAUAGGGAAGUGGUGGAAAAUAUGGGUUAUUUAAAAUGGACGUGUCUGCUCCAUGCCUCCCCUCCCCCCAGUGAGCUUCUAGCACACACUUGGAACCACCUGGGUCCCCAGCUAAAAUGAGGGCCUCCAAGACAGGAAAGACGCAGCUGCCCUGUGACCCUAAAUAAGGAAAGAAGACGCAGAGAUGUCUAUCGCCCAAGGUGCCAGAGCUGGCGACUUGAACCCAGGCAAUCUGAUUCCAGUUAGAAUGAAUGAAUGAAUGCUUCUCCAAGUAGUUAUAAUAAAUAAAAAGGAUCCGACACACUGCCUAGCAAGCAU